UUUUGAGUCAAUGUCGUCUAUUCGAACAGUCGCAGUCCCGUCCUCGUAUAGUUGGCAAAUGAGAGGAACUAGGUGGUUAGGUACUCCCAUUUGUAUGAGUACGUCCCAUAACUUGUGCCAUUUCACGGUGUCGAAGGCCUUGCGAAAGUCGACGAAGCAGAUAUAGAGCGGGCUGUUAAACUCUCUAGACUUUUCGAUUAACUGUCGAAGAAUUAAAAUCU